UACAGAGGGGGCAAGCGUUAUUCGGAAUUAUUGGGCGUAAAGGGCGCGUAGGCGGCUUUGUAAGUCAGUGGUGAAAUAUGGCAGCUCAACUGUCAGGGUGCCAUUGAUACUGCGGAGCUUGAGUACAGAUGAGGUAGGCGGAAUUGACGGUGUAGCGGUGAAAUGCUUAGAUAUCGUCAAGAACACCGAUAGCGAAGGCAGCUUACUGGGCUGUAACUGACGCUGAGGCACGAAAGUGUGGGGAUCAAACAGG
rnacentral:rRNA from 1 species